rnacentral:lncRNA from 1 species
CCCCUCUCUUUUCUAAAAUAAGGGUGAUCUUAUCCAAUGGUUCUUAUUUUAUAUUCUUAAUUUAGCAAGAUAAAAAUGUGAGCAGCUGCACGCCAGCCCCCAAACUCUAGGGGAGGUUUUUCUGGUUCACAGACUGUCUCAGGUUCGAGCCUCCUUAGGGCACCCCCUUUCCGUCCACCUUAGCCUGGAACUGAGACUUCUUUUUCUUUUGUAUCCGUCCUUCUCAGAUGUCAUAUUUGUAUUUUCCAAAACAAUCUAGUUGAAGAAAUCCUAUUCGGUAUGUUGAAAUCUUUAUGCUCCCAGCUCAAACUCUGGAUUAACAACAAAACAGAGGAAAACUCUUUUUCUUAUUCAGCAGUCAAACUUCAAGGCAACUUCAGCCCUGGGAACUCAGCCAGUUGCUGGGAAGUAAAGGAAUCAAAGGCUUCUAAACAGUAAAAAAUGUCUUUAGAAUAGAGCUCGGCUCAGAGGGAGCUUUGGCCUUCCUGCAAAUUAAGAAUAAUGAUUUGGUGAGCUUGUUUAUCUCCCCUCCACCAGCAAGGCUUGGUCUCCCCAGGGGUAACCGGCUGCAGAUUCAAGAGGAAACUGGGAGGGCUGUCUGGGGCUGGAGAAGGAGGCAGCUCCAAUACGCCAGGGUCAGGCAGUGUAGGGGCAAAGAGGUCUCCUUACUUCCACAGCACCGAGUCAUCGAAGUUUACAAGACACUUCUACGUUGAUCUGGAAAAAGGAGGUGCUCCUAGUACAUCUUAGAAAGAUUUCCAUAAAACGGGCUAAAAAGCAAUCAUAAAACCACAACAAAACACAAACAGGCAAGGGAAAGGAUAAACUUCCAUCACCUGGAAGCCUCAGAGACAGGAGAGGGUACACAGGUGAGAGCCUUGGCUGGGUGGGAGGUAGGAGUCAGACCGGACCCUCUGCAGAAUUAGCAGUGGUGUGCACUCACCUCUGGAGCUGUUCCUCUGAGAUGGGCCUGGCCCGCUAGAUAAUUGGAGGGUCCUGCAUCUCAUGGCAGUUUCCACCACGCCCUGCUGCAGCUCGCACCCAGAGCCCUCUGAUCACGGGAGUGGGCAGCUGCCAUUUACUGCUGCACCGUUCUGACCAUGUGCCCCACGUUAUUUCAUGUAGCCCUCGCUACUGCUGUGUCCAGGAGGCUCAGAGAGGUCAAGUUACUUACCUAAGGUCACACAGCUGGUAUGUGCCAGAGCUGGGAAGAGAACGUGCAUUUGUAUGACUCCGGGAUGUUGGCUUUCUGCCUUGACGCCCCAGCCUCUUCAGCUGUGGCUGGUGGCAGGUCCUGGGCCUCUAGCGAGGACGUGCCUGGCUGUGGGCCCAGCCUGGGAUUGACCUCACACCCUCUCUCACACCUGGGGCUUCACUGACAGCAGCGGGCACAGUGCCUUCCUUUCUCUUUCCCUAGACACCAGCUCUGACCCUCCAAUUUCCACCAUGAUCACAGUGUUCUCAGAGUCAGGCAGCAUAUGAGGAAAAUUGCCCUUUCCCUGGAAUAAUUUACCAUCUUGUUAUUUCCGUUACCUGACCCUGUUGGAGCCUAUUCCGUGCUGAGCUGUUUGAAUUUCCAGCUUGGAAAUCCCCAGGCUGGGCGGGAAAUGCUGUUUCCUGAGGGAGGAGCAGACGAGGGAGGUGCUGCCUGCAGGCUUGGCGGAGGGUCAGGGGGUGUUUGGGACAGGGACACAGUGGGGAGGGGGCUGAGGACAGAAACCAGGCAGCAUUUGUGAUUCUUCUGAAUCCAGAGGGGCUUGUGUGAUGAAAUUCCACGGGGCUCUGCCAGGCUGAUACGUGGGAAGGGUGGCAGAGGGCUACUGCGACCUACAGGCAGGGGGUGGUCCUAGGAAGGCAAAGGCAUUGGUAGGAAUGCAGAGAGGGCUACAGAAAGCAAGGGGACUCCUGGGCUAGGCCCUGGACCGGGGCACAGAGUAAGGCUGUUGAGGGUGUUGAUUUCAGUUUUUGACAAGUCGAGGAUCCUCCGGAUACCACGUGACAACACACAGCUUAAGAGCACGGGCCUUGGGCUCAAAUCCUCGCUCUGUCACUCGCCGGCGGUGUGGUCCUGUGCAAGUCGACGGACUUCUCUCAGCCUCAGUUUCCUCCUCUGUGAAGUGGAGGGAAUGGUGUCCACCCCCCAUUAUUCCUUUAAUGUGAGCGCUAACUCAGGGCAAGUGUGUAAAGACCCAGUCUGGCCUCCAGCUGGGGUCCAUCUGACCCAGGUGGUGGCUGUUUUCAGGGAUCAACUCUCCCCAGUUUGCUGGGAACUUUCCUGGUUUUAGCCCUGAAAGUCCCGCAUCUUGUGAAACCCAUUGGUCCUGGAAAACCUGGAUGGUUGCUCACUCUGCCUGUGUUCUCCCGCUCCUCAUUGCACUAAAAGUGCCAGGUCAUGUCUGUGUCCUGGGGAAGGCCGAAGCCCUUGCUAAGGUUUCUGUAAUAUCACCUGUGGCUCUGAGGCCUGCUUUGGCUGAGUUAAUUCGGUGUUGAGGUCGAUACGUGUGCUUGCACACGUUUCUGAAUCGCAGAGACUCAGAUGUGACAUUCAGCCCCCGUUCCCCCCAGAUCCAUAGGCACAAAGCAUCUGGGUGUUGGAGACACCGCAGACGUUUGGGGUGGGAUGGGGGCGCUGAGAUCACUGUAGUGCAAUCCACAGGCACAAGGCAUCUGGGUGUCGGAGACACCGCAGACGUCUGGGGUGGGAUGGGGGCGCUGAGAUCACCGUAGUGCAAUCCACAGGCACAAGGCACCUGGGUGUGGGAGACACCGCAGACGUCUGGAGUGGGAUGGGGGCGCUGAGAUCACUGUAGUGCAAUCCACAGGCACAAGGCACCUGGGUGUGGGAGACACCGCAGACAUCUGGGGUGGGAUGGGGGCGCUGAGAUCACUGUAGUGCAAUCCACAGGCACAAGGCACCUGGGUGUGGGAGACACCGCAGACGUCUGGGGUGGGAUGGGGGCGCUGAGAUCACUGUAGUGCAAACAGCAUCAAAUGGAACAUGACACACAACUCCUUUGGCCGCCCCCUGAAAGUGUGGGGGAUGCAGGGGUGGAAGGGAGCUUCACUCAGGGACCUCCUGCCUCAACCCCUCACUCUGACCUCUGCUCUUUCCUCUAAAUUUUGUUCGUUUCUAACGUCUCUUUUGUGGCCUUGGCCCCGGAUUGAAAUGUGCCCUUUAAAAGCAUUUUUCCUAAACGAAGACAAUUCCUCUCCAAGAGGAGCUGUUCCCUCCCCAGCUGUUCAGAAAAUCCAGGUGUGUUUCCACCUGCAACAAUGCCGAGCUGUCAGCUUAGACUUGGAAGGCCGUAAGAGCUGGGGAAGGCCACAUUUGGGGUCUGGUUCCAGGCCUUGCCGGUCACCAUCCCUGGCUGUAUUAGUCCUUUCUUGCACUGCUAUAAAGUACCCAAGGCUGGGUAAUUGGUAAAGAAAAGCAAAGUAAUGGGCUCACGGUUCCUCAGGCUGUACAGGAAGCUUGAUGCUGGCAUGUGCUCAGCUUCUGAGGAGGCCUCAAGAAACUUACAAUCAUGGCAGAAGGCUAAGGGGAAGCAGGCAUGCCACACGGUCAGCGCAGCAGCAAGAGAGUGAGGCGGGAGGUGCUACCCACUUGUAAAUGGCCGAGCUCGUGAGGACUCACCAAGGCGGAUGGUGCUCAACCAGUCAUGGGAAAACCGCCCCCGAGAUCUAGUCGCUUCCCACCAGGCACCACCUCCAACGCUGAGGGUUACAAUUGGACAUGACACGCGGGGGGGACACAGAUCCAAACCACGUCAUCAGCUCUUUCAGAGGGAGAUGGCUCUGGACCCCAAUUUAGAGUCCGGCUGAUUUGCUCUCCCAGGUGCGCCUGGCACAGCUCUCAGGUUCUGCAGGAGCCGCUGGGCUUGGAUGAAGGGCCCUCCCGCAGGGUGAGGCGCCUGGCGACCUGGCCCGGUCUCACCCCACAGCCUAGGGCAGAGAUGCCACAAAGUCACAGACUUUCAGGGCCCAGAGACCCUGGAGUGCGUCUGACUCGACCUCGUGUUUCACAGGGAAUCUGAGGCCCGCACUGGCCAAGUGACCUGUCUGUACUUACACACUCUGGAGGCAGCAGAGUGGAGGAGAGUGGUGCUAUGGCCUGAGUGAUUUAUUUUAAAAUACAGUCAUGCAUUGUAUAACGAAGUUUGUCAAUGACAGGCUGUAUAUCCAGCGGUGGUCCCAUAAGACUACAAAGCAUCUGAAAAUUCCCGUUGCCUAGUGACGUUGCGGCGUGUAAUGCCACAGUGCAACGCGUUAUCCCUUGUUUGUGGUGACGCCGGUGUGAACACACCUACUACACUGCCAGUCACAUACGAGUGGACAGUAAUGCCCUGGGCCCUCACACUCACCACACACUGACUCUCCCACAGCGACUCCAGUCCCACAAGCUCCAUUCACGGGAAGUGCUCUAUACACCUGUGCCAUUUUAAAACAUCUUUUAUGCCGUAUUUUUACUGUACCCUUUCUAUGAUUAGCUACACACAUAAUUCCACGGUGUCGCAGUUGCUACAUGCUGCACAGGUUUGUAGCCCAGGAGCCCAGGCUCUCCCACGUAGCCUCGGUGUGCUGUAGGCUCUGCCACUUAGAUUUACGUCCGUGCUAUCAUGUCUGCACAAUGAUGAAAUUGCCUGACAACACAUUUCUUGGAAGUAUCCCUGUCGUAUCCUGGUUGUUACGUGACACAUGCCCGUACUUCUGUGUGAAUGAGUUUGAGUAAGAUCUCAUCUGCACACACAUCAAGGGCUGGCUAAUUAACAUGCCCAGUAAAUCAGUUAAUCCUCAUCUGUAGAAACACUGUAGGGUUGCCGUAUUAGCAUAAGGAAUGUGGCAGUGGGUUUUCUUUCAUUUAUUUACUGUUUUUGAAUAGGGUCUUGUUUUGUUACCCAGGCUGAGUGCAGUGGCAAGAUCAUGGCUCACUACAGCCUCCAACUUCUGUGCUCAAGCAAUCCUCCUGCCUCAGCCUCCCAAGUAGCUGG